CCUACGGGGGGCAGCAGUGGGGAAUAUUGGGCAAUGGAGGCAACUCUGACCCAGCAACGCCGCGUGAAUGAUGACGGUCUUCGGAUUGUAAAGCUCUGUGUUUGGGGAUGAACACAAUGACGGUACCCCAAUAGCAAGCCACGGCUAACUACGUGCCAGCAGCCGCGGUAAUACGUAGGGGGCAAGCGUUAUCCGGAAUGACUGGGGGUAAAGGGUGCGUAGGUGGUUUAGUAAGUUGGCGGUGUAAUUCCGGGGCCCAACCUCGGCGCUACCGCCAAAACUAUUAGACUGGAGUGCAGGAGGGGUAGGUGGAAUGCCUAGUGUAGCGGUGAAAUGCGUAGAUAUUAGGAGGAACAUCAGGGGCGAAGGCGACUUACUGGACUGUAACUGACGCUGAGGCACGAAAGCGUGGGGAGCAAACAGGAUUAGAUACCCUUGUAGUC
rnacentral:rRNA from 1 species